CUUUAUUGUAGCUUUGUAUUGGACUUUGAACAGAUCUGUGUAGGAUAGGUGGGAGGCUUUGAAGCAGGGUCGCUAGAUCUUGUGGAGCCAACGUUGAAAUACCACCCUGGUGUGUUUGAGGUUCUAACCUAGGUCCCUUAUCGGGAUCGGGGACAGUGCAUGGUAGGCAGUUUGACUGGGGCGGUCUCCUCCCAAAGUGUAACGGAGGAGUUCGAAGGUACGCUAGGUACGGUCGGACAUCGUGCUAAUAGUGCAAUGGCAUAAGCGUGCUUAACUGCGAGACUGACAAGUCGAGCAGAUGCGAAAGCAGGACAUAGUGAUCCGGUGGUUCUGUAUGGAAGGGCCAUCGCUCAACGGAUAAAAGGUA
rnacentral:rRNA from 1 species